AGACAUAGUACCAUAAAGGAACGAUGAAAGAACUGAAUCAAGCAUUAAAAGCAAAGACAAACCCUUAUACCUUCUGCAUAAUGUAUUAACUAGAAAUAACUUUACACAGAGACCCAUAGCCAAGUCCCCCGAAACCAGACGAGCUACCCAAGAACAGCUGAAGAGCACACCCACCUAUGUGGCAAAAUAGUGGGGAGAUUCAUGAGUAGCAGUGACAAACCUACCGAGCCUGGUGAUAGCUGGUUGUCCAAGAUAGAAUCUUAGACAACUCCCUAUACCAGAUCCUCUAAUUAAUUUUAAUACAGGCCUCCUAUUUAUACUAGCCACAUGAAGCCUAGCCGUCUACUUACCCACAGAAUUACUUAGUCCCCCUGUAAGUUUAACUGCUAAAGAGGGACAGAUCUUUAGACCCUAGGAAAUAACCUUCCUCCAGAGAGUAAAAAUUAUUACCACCACAGUUGGCCCAAAAGCAGCCACCAAUUAAGAAAGCGUUCAAGCUCAACAUCUAACUAUUUUAAAUCCUAAUCACUCUACUGAACUCUUAACAUUACAUUGGACUAAUCUAUUACUUCAUAGAAGCAAUAAUGUUAAUAUAAGUAACAUGAAGAUAUCCUCCAUCACAUAAGCUUACAUCAGACCAGAAUAACCCACUGACAGUUAACAAACUAAUAUUAAUAAGUGAUAUAAUAAGCACCCUAUUAUUUAUACUGUUAAUCCAACACAGGUAUUUUUGAAGGAAAGGUUACAAAAAGUAAAAGGAACUCAGCAAAUCUUACCCUGCCUGUUUACCAAAAACAUCACCUCUAGCAUUACCAGUAUUAGACAUAUGCCCAGUGACAUAUGUUCAACGGCCGUGGUAUCCUGACUGUGCAAAGGUAGCAUAAGCACUUGUUCUCUAAAUAGGGACUUGUAUAAAUGGCCACAUGAGGCUUCAGCUGUCUCUUACUUUUAAUCAGUGAAACUGACCUAUCCAGCGGGAUAUAAACAAGAUGAGAAGACCCUAUGGAGCUUUAAUUCAUUAAUGCAAAUAGAAACUCGCCCUAACCCAUUACCACUGCAUUAAAAAUUUUGGCUGGGGUGACCUUGGAGCAUAAUUUAACCUCAAAACAACCUAAACUAAGAUGGCACUAGUCUAAGCGAGUUAACAUAUAUUGACCCCAUAAUUUAACUGAACAAGUUACCCUACGGAUAACAGCUAAUCCUAUUCUAGAGUCCAUAUAGACAACAGGGUUUACGACCUCGAUGUUGGAUCAGGACAUCCUAAUGGUGUAGCUGCUAUUAAGGGUUUAUUUGUUCAACAAUUAAAGUCCUACGUGAUCUGAGUUCAGACUGGAGUAAUCCAGGUCGGUUUCUAUCUAUUUAAUAUUUCUGCUAGUACGAAAGGACAAGAGAAAUAGGGCCCACUUCGAGGAAGUGUGGGGAAAGGAAGGAGAGAUCAGAUUGUUGCUGUGUCUGU
rnacentral:rRNA from 1 species